AAAUUAUGUGUAGUGAAUAGGCUGGAACAUCACACCUCAAGUAAAAUUUAUGAACUAAUAAUUCACUGUUAAACUUCAAGGGGGGCGGGGCGGAUCUGUCUUACCAGGUCUAGUGCUAGUCAGUAUUUUAAUUCAUUACUUAAAAGAAGGGAAAUGCAUCUAAUUUAUACAUGCAACAGAACAAAAUAUGUGAAUUUAUUGAAUAACCCUACACUGAAUCAGUCUAAAUGUAUGUUUUUUCCUCAGCCUCCCUUGCAGUUUCCCCCCCUGCCUGGGAUAAACUCCAGAAGACUGCAAGCCUGUGAACCUGCACGUCAGACCAACUGGGCAGCUGUGUAACAGACGUGUAAUCUUUCAAGGGAAAACCAUUCCCAUAUCUACCUUCUGAUAAUUUCUACAGGAAAAGGACAUAGGAGAAGCUGUUUCCCAGGAACCCAGUUGCAUAUUUGACUCCUGCUGCUAAUGGAAAGCUGUGCCUCCACCAUCCACUGACACCACUCCAAAGAGGCAAGAAACAUCCUUGCAAUGUUUGGAUGCUCAAAAGCCAAGAACAGUGUGUUGCUACCACAAUUCAAUACAGCCCUGAAAUCAAACUUCAUUAAGACUCCAUGACAACCACCACUCGGUUAGUAAUCCAGCCAGGCAGCACUUUGGAUCCCGCAACCAAUGUCUGACUGAGCAACAGGACAGUCUCAAAUUCAGCCUUUCAAAUACAUUUGCAAAAUUUACUAAGAUAGGAUUUAUACUGAUCUUAAAAAUGUUUAAAGGAGCCUACCCUGCUCCACUUUUUUAAAAGUUUCUCUCACCAACCAAAACACAGCAUUCUCCACCCUCAUGUGUUCAGGGUGCAGGUGCAGGAAAGGAAAAAAAAGGCAUAAAGUCCCUCAUGGGUUUUGAAAAUACACCACCUUUAUUGGUUAGUGGGCAUCAACAAUAGUAUGGCACAGGGCAAAGAUCCUAUCAUUAAGUGCACUAAUUCCUGGACAAGGUUCCAUGCUUAAACCAUCUGCUGUGAGUCAGUCUCCUUCACAGCCCACAUCAGUGUGGACUGGUCUGCUUACAGCAACCUGGGAGCACAAUGACCCAACAACCCCCUCAGCUGCUGGGGCCAUGGACAGAAUGCAGCACCCUUAGAUUUUCCAAGAGAUACUGCCAUUGGCUUCCGCAUAGUAGGCCUGCCCACACAUGAAUGCGGCCAAGUGUCACUCCUGCACCCACAAAAGGGGAGAGAUCAUUACUCCUGCCUGCACAGGGGCACAAAUUGCAGCCCCUUGUUAAGUCAGGAAGUGCAUCAAGGGAUAACACCAAACCAGUGCUGCAACACUGACAUGGCUCCAUCUCCCCCUCCCCCAGUCAGAUUGUCCCACACAAAUGCCAGACUUAGACAUUGCUAGGAGAGUAGAGAAAAAAGUCAUAGAGGAGGGACAGUUGCCCCUCUGACACAAAAUAUAAAACAGCAGUUGGAUUUCUCUAGUCAAGAAACAAGUUGAAAAACUAAAGUAGAGUCAGUUUGAACAUGUAUGACCCCAUGGCACGUCAGACUCAAGUAAUGACUGGAAAUAUGUAGUUAAUUGUUAAUUAUUCAUUUUAUUAUAAUUACUUGCAGUAUAUUUUAUGGGUUAACGACUGCAUUGUGGGAGAGAAACAUUUGGUAGAACAAUAUCCUGCUGCAGAUAUUUUGAAUUAGAAUAUACAUCAUAAUCUAGUCCUGUGUUGAAUUAUGCUUUUAAAAUGUUAUGUUCCUUCUUAAAUAUGUGUUUUAUGUAUGUAUCUUUGCAUGUUAGCCAUGAAAACUGACACUUUAAUGGGGGUAUAAACUGAGAUCUGUAUUAUUUUUUAAGUUAUGCUA